UAUUGUGCUUAGUUAGGAGGCAGACAACAAGGUGUUUUUAUACCUCGAGGCCUAUUUGAGAGGAUUUUCUUUAACAUCAUCGUGAAUUUUCCUCCAAGCAGGCUUGCACAUUC
rnacentral:snoRNA from 1 species